UACGUAGGGUGCAGGCGUUAAUCGGAAUUACUGGGCGUAAAGGGCUCGUAGGCGGCCAACUAAGUCAGACGUGAAAUCCCUCAGCUUAACUGGGGAACUGCGUCUGAUACUGGAUGGCUUGGAUUCGGGAGAGGAAUGCGGAAUUCCAGGUGUAGCGGUGAAAUGCGUAGAUAUCUGGAGGAACACCGGUGGCGAAGGCGGCAUUCUGGACCGAUAUUGACGCUGAGGAGCGAAAGCCAGGGGAGCAAACGGG
rnacentral:rRNA from 1 species